rnacentral:lncRNA from 1 species
CCUCAUGUUUACAUAUUUUGACAGGUCGAGUUGUUCUGGGACUAGGAACAAUGAUGAAAGAAUACCUGCACCAUGGAAACAAUGUCAUUUGCAAACUUUCUGAACCUGUGCUGGGCAUUCACAUUGACAUUUCUUGUUCAACAGGAAUACAUAAUGUCGACCAACAGUACAACUAGAUGAAGAUAUAAAUUUAUUCAAAGAAAUAAUGGGACAAUGAAUGCUAAAAUUGCCA